AAUGAAGCUGGGGAGAGACGACACUUUUUGUCGUCGUUGCAGUCGGAAGGAGAUGAUAAAAAAGGCUGAGGACGCGACAGGGCUCGCUGAUUCGCCGCCGAUGGCACCAAAACGAUCGAUCGCAACCCUGCUGGGCCCAAGUCUCUGCUUUCUUCUGAAUCUCUCCUCCAGAUCUCUGCUUCCGAUCGUUCCUUAGAUCUCUCUCUCUCUCUCUCUCGCUCUCUCUCCCCUCUGCCCUAAGCUUCGGAGUUAUCUUUCACCGUCGGGAAAUGGUGGCAACCACUUCGUUUUUGCUGGGAGGGUGUUAGAGGGUAGGGGGAUGGCGUCUGACGGCGGGAGUGAAGCGAUCCGACCGGCGACGGCGGAGGAGGAGGCGUCGAAGAGGAACACCGACUGCGUCUAUUUCUUGGCAUCACCUUUGACCUGCAAGAAGGGGAGUGACUGUGAGUAUCGGCACAAUCAGGGAACCAGAAUGAACCCAAGGGAUUGCUGGUAUUGGUUAAAAGGGAACUGCCUCAAUCCAAAAUGUUCAUUCCGCCAUCCGCCACUUGAUUCCUGGUUUGCAACACCGAUGCCUUCCUCAGGACCACUUCAACUUCUUCAAACUGCACCAACAACACAAAUCCCAGCUGCAUGUGCGCCUCUUAGUAAUAAUAUCAAUAAGAAAAGUUCUCCCUGCUACUAUUUCCAAAGGGGCAGUGUUUGAAAGGUGAAUGGUGUCCUUUUAUUCACGAGCCACAGGAAUUUAGCAGUUCUGUCUUGCAACAGGUUGCAAAAGCUUCUACAUGUCUUGCUGAACCACCAGCAACCAUUAAGGAUACACAGCAGAACAUCAAUAUGCAGCAGAAUGCUGUCAAACUUAAUCGUGAUAAACCAAAGGCAACUGAUGAAAUGCCAGUUAUAAUGCCACCUGUUAAGGUAGUCAUCAAAGACAAGAAUGCUUCUGAAGAUGACUUAUUAGAUCAUAAAGUGCUUCCACCUAAUUCAUUGAAUGGUGAACCUCCUGCACUGCCACAUAAUCCACAUAAUUUUGUUCCCACUAGCGGUGCCUGUUCUGUGAAUCAUCAGUUACAGCCUUUAGAUGAGCAACCCGUGGUUGGCAGGGAUACUGAUGAGUUAUUGCAUGAAUACUCCCCUGGUUUUGAUGUACUAGUGGAAGAUGAUAUCGAGGAUCCGGAUUUCUUUCACAAUGAAGAUAAUUUUGGAAGGGUGUCAGCUCAUAGUGGACAGCACCUGGAACCUGAAAAUGAGCGCCAUAGGGAUUACGAACCUAUGACCAGAAUUGAAAGGGAUCCAUGUAAUGGGAUAGACAAAUAUGACAAUUAUGAGCAAACACAAGGUAGAUAUGGUUGGGAUCCGAAGACUUCUGACAGAAUCUUGGACAAACCAUCAUCACUUGAAAGAAGGGUGCUUGACAACGAGACAAUACUUGGUGGGAUGGAUGACUCAGAUUUGCGCCAUCAGCUACUUAAAAAACGAAAACUUAAUGGUUCAAGGUCUACUGGUGGUUUUGAUGGUCAUGGUGACUACUACCAGAGGGACGACUUGGAUGCUGAGAAGAGAGAUUAUGGUCGACAUUCCCGAGAUCAAAGGCAAUUUUCUCCAGAGAAAUCAAUGAGCAUUCGUCUACAAGGUAGGAUAACAUUUCCUGGGCGGUCUUCAGUAGAUAUAGCCAGCAAUUUGAACUUGGAGAAAGAGAGAGGCAGGAGACCUCGAGACACACACUCACCAGUGAGGCGAAUGAACCACCAGACAAAACGUCCUGGGAGAAUAAAACAGCAACUAAGUGAGGAUUUCAGCAAAGACACAGCCACAAAGAGUAUUAGGAAUAAACCAACUAUAGGAGAUGACACAAACUCUCCAGAUUUUGCUGGUCCAAAAUCUAUUGCAGAGAUGAAAGGUGCAAGGAUUAAUGGACACUCCUAUGAGCGUUCAAUCAAAAGUAUCAUUGCUAAUACCAAUCUGAACAGAGUGAAGACUGGACAAGUAGAGAGGCUUCAGGAAUCAGAAGAUUCUUUAUCGUUUGAAGGUCCAAAGCCACUGAGUGACAUCCUGAAGGGGAAAAGGGAGUUGGCAUACACAGACAGUGAAAUUUCUACUGGUCAGCAUGAAAACAUUCAAGGUGGUGGGGAACCUGCUGUCAAUGAUUCUGAGCUUGUAGCACCAAGUUUGCAAUCUGUUACUCCAUUAGAUGCUGAAAAAGAAACAAAUUAUACAAUUGACAACCAUAAAAGGCACAAGUUUAGAGCAGAUGAUGAUGAGAACCUAACUAAUGAAGGUCAGUCUUCAGCCAAAGCUGAUGAUGUGGAAAUCGAAGAGAACGUAGAAGAUGAACUGGAAAACUAUAAUCAGAGGGAUGAGGACUUUGGUCAUGGUGACGAAAACACAUUUCAGGGUGACGAAGAUGAGUUUGACGACGAAGAUGACUUUGCUAGAAAGGUCAGUGUCAUGAUAUCUUGAAAACUGAUGUAACAGGUAUCAGUUUUGCAUAUCCUGUUGUUGAAGAAGCCUCAAUCGGUCAAUAAUGUGAUCUUUUGAAUCUCUUGGAAGAUAAUGAUGGCACUUGCCAAUUUUUUUUUUAGAAGCACAUAGUCCCAAAGCAUUUCUCUUCUUUCUGGUUGACAUAGAGGCUCAAUGGAAUGAUAGCAUGCUGAAGAAUCACAAGUCCUCUUCAGUUGUUGAAUCUUGUUUGCUGCUCAGUUUUACUGAUUUUUGUUCUUUGGAACCUUGGUUGUGUAAGAUGCCUCGCAUUGCAAGGUAUUUGUUCUGUUUCAGUGCACCAAAUAGAUAAGUAAUCAGUCACUUCUCCGGGGUAUGUUCUGCUCACCAAAAUUCUCAGAGUUGUUGAUAUGGUAAUGUAACUGUGAGAGUCCCAUCAUCCAUAUAUCUGGGUGGAGACAAUAUCGACUUCACAAUGUUGAGAAAUUGUGGCAGCAAUUUCCUGUAUUGGACAUGAUAAAUCAGAAGAAGAAAGAAUGUUGUAUUCAUGCUCUCAGUAUGAAAUCGACGUUCCCUCCUUUUCA